rnacentral:rRNA from 1 species
GAUGAACGCUAGCUACAGGCUUAACACAUGCAAGUCGAGGGGCAGCAUGACGAGUGCUUGCACUUGUUGAUGGCGACCGGCGCACGGGUGCGUAACGCGUAUCGAACCUUCCCCUUACUCGGGAAUAGCCCGGUGAAAACCGGAUUAAUGCCCGAUGUGGUCCAGCGAGGACAUCUGACCCGGACCAAAGAAUUUGUCGGUUAAGGAUGGGGAUGCGUCUGAUUAGCUUGUUGGCGGGGUAACGGCCCACCAAGGCUACGAUCAGUAGGGGUUCUGAGAGGAAGGUCCCCCACAUUGGAACUGAGACACGGUCCAAACUCC